AUGAAGUCUCCCUCUCAGCUUCUGCUGAUCUUAUUAUUCUGAUUCUAAGGCCUGAUAUGUGACAUCCAAAUGACAUAACCUUCAUCCUCCUUGUCUUCAUCUCUAGGAGACAGAGUCACAAUUACUUGCAGGCCAGAUGAGGGUAUUAAUGAUUGGUGAGCCUGGUAUCAGUGGAAACCAGGGAAUGUUCCUAAACUCCUAAUAUACCAUUGUACCAGUGUUGAAUCUGGAGUUUCUUCAAGGUUCAGUGGCAGUGAAUUUGGGAAAGAUUUUACUCUUGCUGUUAGCAAACUGCAGUGUGAAAAUAUUGAUACUUAUUACUGUCAACAGUGUUUUAGUAUACCUAU